ensembl:lncRNA
GUUAAAGGAGUCCUGAGAUGAAGACUUUUCUCUGAUUUUACGACUGACUGCAGAUUUAAACACGUUUAAUGCAGUUCAGACUUCUUCACUCUCUGGAAGUCCAUGACAGGAGGUGCCUGGUCUGUGGUUUUUGCUCUGCGCUGGUCUGAUAUGGUCUGUGAGCAUUGCAUGUCUGCUGGUGAAGAUGACCUUUGUACAAGGGGUUGCAGGGAGCUGUCCCACCUGUGCACCAGGUUUCUUCCUAGUGAAGAACUGCUCCAAGACUGUAGGGAUCGGGUGCAAAGACUGUACUGAUUGCUCGGCUUUACAUCGGGACACUCUAUCUGAGUGCACGCAGUGGACUGAUGCUGUGUGCGGGAACCAAACUGUGACCACGGUGACAGUCACCACGGUGACCACUGCUGGACCUCCUGUCUUCCCUGGUGAAAUGUGGAUCAUCCUAAGUGUGAUAUCAGUGUCUGUGUUCCUGGUUCUGGUGCUCGCUCUGGUUCUCUCAAUGCUAUCCCAGCGGUACAAGCAAAAGAAAGCUUUGUACCUGCCCUGAAUGAAAGCAAGUCAUUCUGAAUGCCUCUCAGCACCAACGUCUUAGGGACAAGCCACUGUCCAUGAUGGCCAAAGCAGCAGAUCCAGCUCUCAGAAACCAGAAACGUGGAGUCCAGGUCCAGGGCAGGUUUAGAGUCCAGGUCCUGGGUGGAUUAAAGACCAGGUCCAGGCCGGGCUCAUGAGUCCAGGUCCAGGUCGAGCUCAUCAUUCCAGGUCCUGAGUGGAUCAGAGUCCAGGUCCUGGGUGGGAUUAAAGUCCAGGUCCUGUCCGGGGUCAGAGUCCACCUGUAGACUGGUUUGAUCCACCCAUUAUACUUCACAUCGAGGCCACCCUAUAAGAAUACAAAUGUAGACCAGGUGUAGACUAGGUGUAGUUCAGGUGUGAAGUAAGGUUAGAUUCCAGGUGUAAGACAGGUGUAGACUAGUUGUAGCCAGAUGUGGCGUAACUGUAGACUAGACGUAGUCCAAGUCCUAGGAAGAAUUUAAUUUCAGGUGAAGUCUGGGUCCACUUCAUUAACACGUAGCCCAGGUGUAGCUCAGAUGUAGCUCACACAUAGACCAGGUGUAGCUCAGGUGUAGAGAAAGUGCAGCUCGGGUGUAGCUCACACAUAGACCAGGUGUAGCUCAGGUGUAGAGAAAGUGCAGCUCGGGUGUAGCUCACACAUAGACCAGGUGUAGCUCAGGUGUAGAGAAAGUGCAGCUCGGGUGUAGCUCACACAUAGACCAGGUGUAGCUUGGGUCUAUAAAAUAAGUCUGUAAUUUGUCACAGCUCACCCAGAACCCCCCCACCCCCACCCCAGCAUCCUCCCGAUCAGCUGUUUCAUUUCCUAUAUGUCCCAUAAUGCAACUUUACCUCUGCAGAGGCGUCAAACUGAGAGUAACGUGUGUAAAAUCAGUGGAAUGACCUUUAACCCUUUCACUGUGAGUGUGAGAUGUCUGGAUGAGCUAUUUCAGUCAGUAGUGAUGCUUAUUUAUUGAUUCUGGAUCAAUAAAUCUGAUCACCUCUGUAAACUGAACGUGUUGUAAACCUAAAUCUCUUUUAAAUGUUGAAGUCAUUAUGUACUUGUGUGCUCCUGUUUAUUCAGAAAUCUGUGACAGUUUUAUACUUUAAACUUUCUUUGGUACUUCAGGUGUGUAUUAGAUAAUCUGCUGUAUGAACAGAGUGUGUGUUUGUAUCACAUAAUAAACUCUAAAC